UACGAGUGCUUCAAGCGUUAUCCGGAAUUACUGGGCGUAAAGGGCUCGUAGGCGGCCAACUAGGUCAGACGUGAAAUCCCUCAGCUUAACUGGGGAACUGCGUCUGAUACUGGAUGGCUUGGAUUCGGGAGAGGAAUGCGGAAUUCCAGGUGUAGCGGUGAAAUGCGUAGAUAUCUGGAGGAACACCGGUGGCGAAGGCGGCAUUCUGGACCGACAUUGACGCUGAGGAGCGAAAGCCAGGGGAGCAAACGGG
rnacentral:rRNA from 1 species